rnacentral:misc_RNA from 1 species
AUUUAGAUAGUCCUUCAGCAACCAUACGAAAAUGCAGGUAAGAACAGCUGAUUCAGGUGAACUUCUAGAUUGGGGACAGAUGAAAUCUAUUAUACAGUAGCCCUUUGGCAUGGAGAAUAAUGUAUCCGGCUUGUACCAUAACCUUGAGUAAGGGGAUUUCCUUAACAACACCGGAAAAUUCAUCUUGUUUGAGACAGUUUUAAUGGACAAAUCGGUAGGAAUA